ACUUUACCCCAGAGUUGAACGGGGGUUCUUUCAGAAUUGGAGUCCGUCCUCUCAAACCCUGCCUAGGCUUGGUCAGCUCAAUGUAGAUGAUAUUCUCAGUCCUUCCUGUCAUUUCAACAAUCUUCUCAGCAUCUUCACCAGGAGCAGAUUCUAGCUCAAGAAACACUUUCUUGGCUCAUCCACACGAAGCAACUCCUCGUCCGUUCAAGUCUGACCCUGAGAUGGUGGCAGUUCUGCCCCAUCGUCAGGCUGCACGUCCCCCGCUAGUUCUCUGGCUGUGUCCACACCAUCCGCCGUUACUUCCUCCGCUGAAGUCUUGAAUCCCUUGAAGUCAUCCAUGCGGGUUGAGACCAACUUCUCCCAAACUCCUGUUAAUGUUGCUGUUUCGACCUCUUCCCACAGAUCACAGUGUUCUCAAUGGCAUCUGGGAUGGCGAAUCCUUUCCGGAGGUUUUUCAGUUUACUUUGCCCAGAUCCAUCCUAUCUGUGGCAGCCACAGCCUUGUGCCAUGCCAUGCCAACUCUUCAUAAGAGUUGAAAGUCGAAAUGACUGCCUUAUCCGUGGGCUGCAGCCAGUGCUGUGCUGGCAGGCAUGAGAACGGCACUGACCUUGCUGUCUGUCUCCGUCAGAGCUCUUGGCUGACUGGUGCGUUGUCAAUGAGCACUAACGUUUUGAAAGGAAUUUUUUUUUUUUUCCCCUGAACAGUAGGUCUUAACAACGGGCUUAAAACAUCGGCAAACCGUGCUGUGAGCAGCUGUGUGGCCGUCCAGGCUCUGUUCCAUUCUGAGGGCACAGGUUGAGUAGAUCUGGCACAAUCCUUAAGGGCCCUACGAUUUGGGGACAGUAAGUGAACAUGGGCUUCCACCUCAAGUCACCAGCACUGUUAGCCCCUAAUAAGAGAGUCGGGGUGUCCUUCGAAGCCUUGAUUAUCGACUUCUGUCUGUGAAAGUCCUAAAUAGCAGCUUCCAAUAAAAGGCUGUUGCAUUCACACUGGAGGUGGGUCGUUUAGUGUGAUGACCUUCGGUACUUACCGCAGCUGCAUCACGGGAGGCCGAGCCGUGGUUCUGCGUCCCGGCUCGCUGCUUGCCCUGG